rnacentral:rRNA from 1 species
UACGGGGGGGCAAGCGUUGUUCGGAAUUACUGGGCGUAAAGGGCUCGUAGGUGGCCAACUAAGUCAGACGUGAAAUCCCUCGGCUUAACCGGGGAACUGCGUCUGAUACUGGAUGGCUUGAGGUUGGGAGAGGGAUGCGGAAUUCCAGGUGUAGCGGUGAAAUGCGUAGAUAUCUGGAGGAACACCGGUGGCGAAGGCGGCAUCCUGGACCAAUUCUGACGCUGAGGAGCGAAAGCCAGGGGAGCAAACGGGG